rnacentral:rRNA from 1 species
CCUACGGGAGGCAGCAGUGAGGAAUAUUGGGCAAUGGCCGAGAGGCUGAACCAGCCAAGUCGCGUGAGGGAAGACGGCCCUACGGGUUGUAAACCUCGUUUGUCGGGGAGCAAAGCGAGGCACGUGUGAGUCAUUGAGAGGACCCGAAGAAAAAGCAUAGGCUAGCGACGUGGCAGCAGCCGCGGUAAUACGGGGGAUGCGAGCGUUAUACGGUUUUAUGGGGGUUAAAGGGUGCGCAGGCGGAGGUGCAAGUCAGGGGUCAAAUUGCGGAGUGCAACCCCGUACUGCCGUUGAAACUGCAUCCCUUGAGUGCGCGAGAAGUAUGCGGAAUGCGUGGUGUAGCGGUGAAAUGCAUAGAUAUCACGCAGAACUCCGAUUGCGAAGGCAGCAUACCGGCGCGCAACUGACGCUCAUGCACGAAAGCGUGGGUAUCGAACAGGAUUAGAUACCCUAGUAGUC